AUGGCAUGGCUAAGCUGGGAAAAAAUGAUGCUUCCCAAGGCUAUGGGAGGCAUGGGUUUUUGCGAUAUGAGAGAUUUUAACCAGGCCCUGCUCGCAAAGCAGGCUUGGCGUCUGCUGGACUGCCCACAAAGCUUAUGCACGAGACUCCUCAGAGCUAAAUAUUUCCCCCACGGAAAUCUCCUAGACACGGUGUUCCCUGCUACUUCUUCUGCAGUGUGGAAGGGAAUUGUCCAUGGUCUUGAGCUUGUGAAGAAAGGUAUCAUUUGGCGUGUGGGGGAUGGUUCGUUAAUCAAAACAUGGAGAGAUGCUUGG
rnacentral:rRNA from 1 species